UACAGCGAGAAAUAACCUGAGCAGGCUGUUGUUGAGGUUGGUUAUUCAGAAAUAAUAUAAAAGAAUUCAGACGGAAACAUUCAGAAGGUAGAAUAAAGAGGCAACACACAGUAUUUGCAAGGAAGAAAAUAUACUGUUGUACCAAAUGGUGGGCCCAAAAUUCAUCAAUUCUAUCAUUCUAAAAGCACAAAAAAUGUAUCUAAUUCACUACUGUAUCAUGUGCAACAACCCGGAGAUUAGCAAAUAAAUGCGCUAAAGGGUACAAAACAUUUCUGAGUAGUUUGACCACAUCUCGUUCCCCUACAAAAGUAGCUCACAAAACAAAUAUGACAAUAACAUAAAUGAGUAACUUCCAAGGAAACAAAUAAUUAGUAAGUAAAAUAAUCUUACAUCUCGUUCCCCGAGACAUGUGAACAAACAUGUGAUGGAUAACCUGACUCUCCCGAUGGUAACCUCAUAGGAACCUCAAUCUCUGACGGGAAGCAAGUAACCUCAUUGCAUGUUUUUUGUAGACAGAUGACUCCUCACUAGAUGUUUUUGUAGAGAUGAAGGCUAGUAACCACCAAGAGUAGUGCAUAAUUUACAACCGCACUCACGACCUACAUAACUAAUCGAUGGGCACUCUGCACAUGACAGAUAUGAAAAUCAAUAAUGAAAAAGAAUUGAUGCAUCUCUGUCUAUUGAUAUGAGAUAUUAUGAAUUGAAUAUUUCGCACAUAUAAGCAACUCCUACCUUGCUACUGCACUAACUAGUACUGAAGCGCGACGACCAUUGGCAAAUAGCAUGUGGAUCAGGAGAUUUGCAAUGGUAACUUAUUUUGCUCAAUUUAAUCAGUCUAUCUAAGUAUAAUCUCUGACAAACAAUUUAGUCUGCAUCCGAAAAUCUCCCUUUGAUGGAUGAAAAAUAUUUCUAACAUUGAUAAAUAUAAUCACACGGGCAAUUGAAGUAUAUACCAGAUAUCCUAUGUAGAUCAGGAGAUUUCCGAAGAUAGCUUAUUUUCUCGAUUUAAUCAAGUUUGUUUAAGUACAAUCUGUGGAGAACAAAGAGCAUACAGAAAACCAGGAUAAGCCCCAUGCUUCUAAGGACAGGAGAUUCACAUCUCAGGACAAGCCGCGUGCUUCUAAGUACAGGAGCAUCACAUCUCAAAUGGCAUGUAUGCCUUGUGCCACAAAAUCUUCUCAUGCACUAUACACAGUAUGUGCUGAAUAAGCUAUAUAUUAUAUUAAGCUCAUCUUCACUGUGAAAUACAUGAACUGAGAACAUGCUGAUGGAUGACAAUAUCAUGCAUUAACAGGGAUGAUGAUCUACAAAGAAGAUCCUAUUACUGAUUAUUGGUAUCCAGCAGAUCACAAAUUGUCCCCACACUCUAUAAAUUACUCUUGUCAGGGCUUCUGUUAUUCCAAGAUAAUAUCGUAAGGUCCAAAUUUGGGUUUCCAACCAAAGAACAUGACCAUAACAACCUAUUUAAUAUUGCCAACAUAUGUAAGAUUGCUUGGCAAUGACUAACUAAUGUUCUGCACAAACAAUAUAAU
rnacentral:lncRNA from 1 species